rnacentral:rRNA from 1 species
UACGUAGGGUGCGAGCGUUGUCCGGAAUUAUUGGGCGUAAAGGGCUCGUAGGCGGUUUGUCGCGUCGGGAGUGAAAACUCAGGGCUUAACCCUGAGCCUGCUUCCGAUACGGGCAGACUAGAGGUAUGCAGGGGAGAACGGAAUUCCUGGUGUAGCGGUGAAAUGCGCAGAUAUCAGGAGGAACACCGGUGGCGAAGGCGGCAUCCUGGACCAACACUGACGCUGAGGAGCGAAAGCCAGGGGAGCAAACGGG